UUCCCUUUGUCAUCCUUUGCCUAGGAUCCGAGUGGGGCAGGGACAACAAAGGGGUGC
rnacentral:pre_miRNA from 1 species